UCUUAGCCUUUACUAAGCUGGCUGAUUCUGUAAAUGUUCCCAACGUUGACCUGAGUGAGGCUACGUGUAUGCAGAAGAAAAGCUGCCCUAGGAACCAUUUUCCUCCUUUUGAGCUCUCUCAAACAGAGAUUAUCCAAGGGAAAAAUCUAUCAGAAAGACAAAUGAUAGUAGCACAUCCCAACAUCCACUCUGCUGCCAACUCAGAGCAGUUCUCUGGGCUGCAGAGACCCAGCAAGACCAAAUCUGGUCCACUGCAUCUCACCCUUUCAGGAACAAGUACAGAGGAGCAGUGCACAGAUAUUGCAUCAUUUCUCUUCCUCUUCAGAGCAUUAAGGCAGGUUUCCUAUCACUGUCACCAUCAGGCCUCACACACUUACAGGAUUCCAGCAUUCAGGACACCUAAGUCCAUCUCACCUUGCAGUGCUCCUCACAGAAGAGCCCACAGCAGGACACAAAGGCAUGCAUGACACUUUCCUGACUGCAAAGGACAUCUCUCUUGCUCAUUUCCAGUAUAUCAGAACAGAGACAACUAGAUCAAAUGCAAAGGGAGCUGGGUGCUCCAAAAGGUGCUGUGGGAUGAAAAAAUAAGGUGUAUUUUCUGUCCUGAGGAAUGGGCUGUGCAGACGGGAAAGAACAUGAAGGCAGCCGGGAACAGUGAUCAGCAGAGAGGGCAAAGGCAGCACAGGGGCUCAUAAAUAUGUUUUGCUAUUA